rnacentral:rRNA from 1 species
AGGAUGAACGCUGGCGGUCUGCUUAACACAUGCAAGUCGAACGGGCGUAGCAAUACGUUAGUGGCGGACGGGUGAGUAACGCGUGAGAAUCUACCUUCAGGACGGAGACAACAGUUGGAAACGACUGCUAACCCCCGAUGUACCGAAAGGGCAAAUAUUUAUAGCCUGAAGAAGAGCUCGCGUCCGAUUAGCUAGUUGGAGAGGUAAAAGCUCACCAAGGCGACGAUCGGUAGCUGGUCUGAGAGGACGAUCAGCCACACUGGGACUGAGACACGGCCCAGACUCCUACGGGAGGCAGCAGUGGGGAAUUUUCCGCAAUGGGCGAAAGCCUGACGGAGCAAGACCGCGUGGGGGAAGAAGGCUCUUGGGUUGUAAAACCCCCUUUUCUCUGGGAAGAACGCAAUGACGGUACCAGAGGAAUCAGCAUCGGCUAACUCCGUGCCAGCAGCCGC